AUUAAACGCUGGCGGCAUGCCUUACACAUGCAAGUCGAACGGCAGCACGGGGGCAACCCUGGUGGCGAGUGGCGGACGGGUGAGUAAAGCAUCGGAACGUAUCCUGGAGUGGGGGAGUAACGUAGCGAAAGUUACGCUAAUACCGCAUAUUCUGUGAGCAGGAAAGCAGGGGAUCGCAAGACCUUGCGCUCUGGGAGCGGCCGAUGUCGGAUUAGCUAGUUGGUGGGGUAAAGGCCUACCAAGGCGACGAUCCGUAGCGGGUCUGAGAGGAUGAUCCGCCACACUGGGACUGAGACACGGCCCAGACUCCUACGGGAGGCAGCAGUGGGGAAUUUUGGACAAUGGGCGGAAGCCUGAUCCAGCCAUGCCGCGUGAGUGAAGAAGGCCUCGGUGU
rnacentral:rRNA from 1 species